UUCACAGCUUUGGAGAGCAGGGCCCAUUGUUUAUCCUCAGAAGAGCUACAGCAUGUGCAGCAGAGCUAGUUUGCCCCCGGACUGCCCUGUCAAAUGUGCCUCACCCCCUCACCUGCAGGGUUCACCUCUACUGGUGAGAGGGUAGUUUUGUCUUGAUGCUUGUUCAGUCCUUGAUCUCU
rnacentral:sRNA from 1 species